rnacentral:lncRNA from 1 species
GUUUGUUGAACGCUCUAACUUCACGUUCUGCGUUCAGUACGCUCAUGUUACAGAUUACGAGUAACAUUUCAAGGACGUGAUAUGGAUCUUUGCUAAAACUCAACUUGAGGACCCAAAACGGGCGUCCCAGUUAGUCCAAACACACGAAUUCAACUUCGACCAAUCACAGAGGACGUAACACAUAUGCAAACGUGCGUUUAUCAUCAUCCUACGUCAGCAGCGCUGGAACCGCUGAGGUCGCCCAGCCGCGAUAUCAACUACGCCAAAAACUUCGCUAUUUUAGCUCUCCGUAAAUGAUCGCGCUGUCACCGCGGGAUUUGGCUUCGUUUGGAUGUCAGAUGUUAAUCCAACUAUGCUUAGAGUUGAGACUGUAGCCCUUCUUGGUGAUGGACACACAGCGGUUCAACAAACUGUGACAGUCUUUAGCUCUCUAUUGCUUUCAGCAGUCCUGUCGUAGGGGCUGCUAGGGGGCGAGACACU